GCCCUGGUAGUGUAGUGGCCAAUCAUCCCAGCCUGUCGAGCUGGGGACCCGGAUUCGAAUUCCGGCCAGGGCG
rnacentral:tRNA from 1 species